AUCUCAGCCUGACGUCAAACCUCUUGCUGAUGAAUGGACAGCAUUCUAGCUUAUGCCAGUUGGCAGAUAGGGUGGGACUGCCCACACGUGCAUGGACUGCUCGAUCGCUUUCAAAAAAUUCUAUUGUCGUUGUUUGAACUUGAUUGUAAUUUUCCAAGCAUGGAAUUGAUGAGCAAACACAAGGUUGGAAUGUCGGUAAGUAGUCCACCCAUUGAAGGCCAUCUGCUCCAAU
rnacentral:lncRNA from 1 species